AAUGAACGCUGGCGGCGUGCCUUACACAUGCAAGUCGAGCGAGAAAGCGGCUUCGGCCGUGAGUACAGCGGCGAACGGGUGAGUAACACGUGGACAAUCUGCCUGGGAGUGGGGGAUAACUCGGGGAAACCUGAGCUAAUACCGCAUGCGCGGUCUGGGCUUCGGCCCGGAUCGGAAAGGUGGCCUCUCCUUGGAAGCUGUCGCUCCCAGAGGAGUCCGCGUCUGAUUAGCUUGUUGGUGGGGUAAUGGCCUACCAAGGCGACGAUCAGUAGCCGGCCUGAGAGGGUGAUCGGCCACACUGGAACUGAGACACGGUCCAGACUCCUACGGGAGGCAGCAGUGGGGAAUAUUGCGCAAUGGGGGAAACCCUGACGCAGCAACGCCGCGUGGAGGAUGAAGGCCUUCGGGUCGUAAACUCCUGUCAGGUGGGACGAAAAAGCGUAGGCGAAUAACCUGCGCCCUUGACGGUACCACCAGAGGAAGCCCCGGCUAACUCCGUG
rnacentral:rRNA from 1 species